rnacentral:rRNA from 1 species
AAUUUUGGACAAUGGGGGAAACCCUGAUCCAGCCAUCCCGCGUGUAUGAUGAAGGAANNNGGGUUNUNACGUACUUCUGGCAGNGANNAAAAGCUAUCGCCUAAUACGAGAUAAUGCUGACGCAAUAUGAAGAAUAGGCACUGACUAACUACGUGCCUGCAUCCGCGGUAAUACGUAGGGUGCAAGCGUUAAGCGGAAUUACUGGGCGUAUAGCGUGUGUAGGCGGUUCGGAAAGAAAGAUGUGAAAUCCCAGGGCUCAACCUUGGAACUGCGUUUUUAACUGCCGAGCUAGAGUAUGUCAGAGGGGGGUAGAAUUCCACGUGUAGCAGUGAAAUGCGUAGAUAUGUGAAGGAAUACCGAUGGCGAAGGCAGCCCCCUGGGAUAAUACUGACGCUCAGACACGAAAGCGUGGGGAGCAAACAGG